CAGCAGCCACGGGAAAACGGAGGGAGCUAGCGUUGUUCGGAAUUACUGGGCGUAAAGCGCGCGUAGGCGGUUACUCAAGUCAGAGGUGAAAGCCCGGGGCUCAACCCCGGAACUGCCUUUGAAACUAGGUGACUAGAAUCUUGGAGAGGUUAGUGGAAUUGCGAGUGUAGAGGUGAAAUUCGUAGAUAUUCGCAGGAACACCAGUGGCGAAGGCGGCUAACUGGUCCAUAACUGACGCUGAGGUGCGAAAGCGUGGGGAGCAAACAGGAUUAGAUACCCCCGUAGUCCUGUCUCUUAUACA
rnacentral:rRNA from 1 species